rnacentral:rRNA from 1 species
GACGAACGCUGGCGGCGUGCUUAACACAUGCAAGUCGAACGGAAAGGCCCUGCUUGCCGGGUACUCGAGUGGCGAACGGGUGAGUAACACGUGGGUGAUCUGCCCUGCACUUCGGGAUAAGCCUGGGAAACUGGGUCUAAUACCGGAUAGGAGCCAUUUUUAGUGUGAUGGUUGGAAAGUUUUUUCGGUGUAGGAUGAGCUCGCGGCCUAUCAGCUUGUUGGUGGGGUAAUGGCCUACCAAGGCGGCGACGGGUAGCCGGCCUGAGAGGGUGGACGGCCACAUUGGGACUGAGAUACGGCCCAGACGCCUACGGGAGGCAGCAGUGGGGAAUAUUGCACAAUGGGCGCAAGCCUGAUGCAGCGACGCUGCGGGGGGGAGGACGGCCUUCGGGUUGUAAACGCCUUUCGCUAGGGACGAAGCUUUUUGUGACGGUACCUAGAGAAGAAGCACCGGCUAACUACGUG